rnacentral:tRNA from 1 species
GCGGAAGUACCCAAGUGGCCGAAGGGGCUCCCCUGCUAAGGGAGUAGACGCCUAAACCGCGUGCGAGGGUUCAAAUCCCUCCUUCCGCG